UUCCUCGUAUCGCACGUUCCUUUUGGAUUUCCUUUUACGGUUUGUGAAAAAUUGCACCAUGUUGCGAAUAAUGAUCUCAACAUGACGUGCUUACUGUGAUUCGAUAUCCGUCAGAUGAACCCAACAACAAUAAAGUCCUGGUUGCUACGAGGUGAACUCGAGAAAUUGGAACAUGUCGUUUUGGAAGGACGUGGAGCUCGUCUGUUAGGUGAACACUCACCAGAUCUCCGAACUCGUGUCUUCCUGAAAGGACUCCCGAAUUACUUGACGAAAAUUUCUCAGGUGCACGAAGCAGCUGUACGUGGUUCCUUGGGAGAAACGCAGAGACUGAUAUUGGGGGAGCCCAAAAAGAAACUGGCCAUCGCGAAGGAUCCUUCUGGCAUCCCUUUGCUUCAUAAAGCAGUCUACUACGAUCAGCUGGACAUCGUCGAGUGGCUGGUGCAAAAUUAUCCCAUUACCGUUCAACAGAAGGACAAAGAAGGUAGAACAGCAUUGCAUUACUGUGCUGGUUGCAAAAAUCCUGGGGUCAUUUGGGAUGUUCUGAUAGAAAACGACUGCGACUCGAGCAUCUGCGAUAAGAAGGGCAAUCCUGCGUCCUAUUAUCUGGAACAUAGGUCAGAAAUUGAAUUAUCCGAAGUGGAGAUCAUGUCCCGGAGGAAGGCGAGCACCGUCAGGGAAUUUAUUCCAGGUUCGGACUUCAAACCUUCUACUAUAAGAAUAUGGAUCCACAACCGAGACCUUGGGAAAUUGCAACAAGUUUUAUGGGAAGGUCAUGGAAACAGGUUGCGUAUGGAAACCAGCAACAAUACUCGGGUCAAAAGGUUUCUGGAAGCUGUGCCCUUUAUAAUGGGUACCGUAAAAGAUGUCCACGCAGCUACAGUAAAUAAUGAUUUGGAUGAGCUCAGGAAUAAAAUUGAUUCCUCGUCGCCCAUCAUUCUGUGCAGCAAAGACAGCAAUGGUUUAAAUGUCUUACACAAGGCUGCUGGAUUGGGACAUACAGAAAUCGUACGAGAGAUUCUUGCGAAAUAUCCAUCGACUGUUGAAGCGCAAGACAAUGACGGAAAAACACCGUUGCAUUAUGCAGCUGCAGCAAAGGAUGAUGGAGUUUUGUAUGAUUUAUUGGUGGAGCAUGGUGCUGAUGAAAGUAAAUUGGACAAUAGACACAAAGCAGCAGCCUUCUACAAGAACAGACCAUCGGAUAUAGACCAAUCACUAUUGACCGUGGUACCGGAAGCGCCCAGAGUCGCCAGCACAUCUUAUCCUAAACACUGGGACUGGAGAAUCCUUGAAGUCGAAGAAUCUCUAUCCAGAGGAAUGAGGAAAGUUAACAGUGCAGAUAUUGACAGUGCAUUUGGCAGUGCUGAAUCGGCUUCAAAAAGCCUCAGCAAAUCAAUGGAGCAGAUAAAAAACGUGGAAGAAGAUUCACAGAAAGAGGAGCAGGAGGAAGCAGAGAAACCAGAGAAUACAGAAAUCCAAGAAGAUACGGAAAACCCAGAGAAUGCUGAGGACUCGAAAGACCCAGAGACUGCAGAGAAAGACGAAGAGCAAACUGUGGAAGAAACAAAAGCCGAGGAUACAGAAGAAAGAUCCUCGGAUGACGAUGUGGUAACUGGUACAAUGGCGCAGGAGACGGAAGAGGAAGAAGCAAAUCCAGAGAAAGAGGAAGCGGAAGCAGAGAAAUCAGAAGAAGAAAAUGAAACUGAGGAGAAGAAUGAAUCGAAAAGCCCGGAUCCUAUAGAGGCAGACGAGGUCGUCCAACAGGAGGAGGAAAACAAGGUGGAACAAGAAGAAAGAAACGAGCCGAGCACAGGUGAUUCUGGUGUCGAUGAUCCAGGAAACGACGAAGAUCAGCAGGUGAUCGUUGGUGAACACGAGGAACCACCGGACACAGAAGUGAACGAGGCAAGCAUGACGGCAGAUCCGGAAAUCGAGAAGCUGUUGGAGAACGGAAACAUGGAGCAAUUGGCGGGAUUGGUUCUGAACGGGGACGGGAGAAGAUUGGUCGGUCGGCGUUCGGGGAAUCCUGAACUCCAGGCGUUCAUCGAUCGUGUUCCUUCUUAUAUGGGAAAAAUUCACGCUGUUCACAUGGCAGCACGAGAAGGAAACCUCAGAGAUUUGCAAAGUGCAUUAGAUCGUCGCAAAUUCGCAGUUGCAAGGGAUGGUUCCUCGCCGCAUGGUGCAACACCCCUUCACGUUGCAGUCGUGUUUGGAAAUACCACCAUCAUCAGAUAUCUGGCAGGGAGGUUUUCAGAAACCGCGAAUGCAAUCGAUUUAGAUGGUCGAACACCCUUGCAUUAUGCGGCCACCCUCGCAGACAAUGGCCAUUACUACAAUCUUCUGCUUCAUCUGGGUGCCAAUCCUUUAGUUCAAGAUAACUUCGGACAAAAGGCAGAUUACUACAAACAAAAUCAAUCAGAAUUCUCUCACAAAUCGCUCCUCCGCGAUUUCGGUGCUAACGAGAACCUCGCCGACGAGAUGUUGACCGACAAAGUUCCUGGAGGAGACACGUACUCCGCGCGUCGUGACAUAACCGAACCAGAGACGUUAGCCACCUUGGAGAGGUGUUUCCGUCUUCUAGCUGGUACAAGGCACGGUGCGACACCGAAAUCGGCUGGGAACUCCGGUACACUGAUCGGCCGUUGCCUGAAACGGCCCAUAUUCGAUCGUAUCAAGCACCGUGUGACACGCAUGGACCACAAUCUCUUUGAUGUGAUCUGGCCCGCUUUAAAGAAAUACGGUAACCCGAAUAGCAGCGGCGAUACGAGCAGCGCUUACUCGUUCGUCGCGAACCUCGAAGAAGACGACUCUCUUUUAUUGAUCGCACCUGAUUACGAAAGUUACAUCGUCUUCGCGGAGUUCUUCGAUCCUCUGAUCAGAGACAUUCAUUGCGUGACUGCAAGCGGCGAUCUGCCCGAUCAUCCGCCUCCUAGAUACUUCCACGACGAGGACGAGGGUGAAGAGAACCCCGAUUCGAUCGACGAGGUGACCAUUUCCACGAUCGAAGGCUACGACCUCGAUCCACCGGCUAAGUACGUUCAAGCUGCAGUGAUGGAGUGUUGCAGGAACCUCGAGGAUUACACGUUCCCUUUGACUCUGACGGUGAAUCAGUUGGAGGAAGUGGAACGAGUGAUCACCAGCGAGCUGAUGAGUCAGUAUAUCUCGGAGAUGAUGGCCGAAGGGAGUAGCGAAGAUGAGCCAGGAACUUACUUCACCCUUAACGAGAUCCUGGACCAACCGAGUCCAAUCAGAGCCCAAUUGGCGGCUUCUGGAUUGUUGUUACCGAUCGCAGACUCCGACCCCCAGGAUGAUCGACGUCUUCAUGGAAGACACUGGCCAUACGGACGAGGAGUUUACGUGUCCUCUGCUGGAGAUCUUGCUGCAUGGGUGAAUGUCCAGGAUCACCUGAGGAUCGUGUGUCGUACUACCGAUAGCAGACCUGGUCUGAUCGGUCGCACUUACAUCAGACUGGCAAAAGUGAUGGUGAUCCUCGAUGAAAGAUUGAAGUUCAAACGGGACCAAAAGCUGGGCUUCCUUAGCUCGCGACCCUACGCUAUCGGCAAUACCCUCAGAUUCAACGUGAUCGUUAGAUUUCCAGAACUGUCCAAGAAAUUCGAUCAUCUGAAACAUCUGUGCGUGGUACGUGGAUUAAGUAUACGUGAAACGGCUAGAAAGGACACGGUGCGGAUCGGUAAUCAACAGUCGUUGAGCAUCAGCGAACUGCAAACCCUUCAAGACUUUUCUAGGGCUGUUCUGAACAUCCUGGCCUUGGAGAAGGAACUGUCGAUAAAUAGUUCCUUGAAAAUCGCCAAUCUACUGGCGGGAAUAUUUCGCAAACGUAACAGCGCGAAACGUUUCCAGACUUAACGGACGAGAAAGGAGCGGAUGCAACUUUCAAACUUAAUUUACGUCAAUUUCUAUUUCUUUUGAUUCUUUUUGUGGACCGAUACGCUUACACGUGGAAACUUUCUGUGAUAAUUCAUGAGCCAAUGCGUUCGACUGCCAAUUUAAUCCUCGUAGACUGAAACUGUAGAGAGAAGAAUGUUGGAAAGACGUGUGUGAACGUUGUUCUCUGUCCUCGAUGAUAAUUGAACGAAAAAUUUAACUACUCGGACGAAGGCUGGAUUGAUUGACCUUAGACGACAGUCAACUGGAGAUACCAAUAUUUCAAGAGGAGGAGGGUCGCUACUUGGCAUCGUCUCUCGGUGAUCCAUUGAUCAAAG